rnacentral:rRNA from 2 species
UCAUGAUUUACAUUUGAGUGAGUGGCGAACUGGUGAGUAACACGUGGGAAACCUGCCCAGAAGCGGGGGAUAACACCUGGAAACAGAUGCUAAUACCGCAUAACAACUUGGACCGCAUGGUCCGAGUUUGAAAGAUGGCUUCGGCUAUCACUUUUGGAUGGUCCCGCGGCGUAUUAGCUAGAUGGUGAGGUAACGGCUCACCAUGGCAAUGAUACGUAGCCGACCUGAGAGGGUAAUCGGCCACAUUGGGACUGAGACACGGCCCAAACUCCUACGGGAGGCAGCAGUAGGGAAUCUUCCACAAUGGACGAAAGUCUGAUGGAGCAACGCCGCGUGAGUGAAGAAGGGUUUCGGCUCGUAAAACUCUGUUGUUAAAGAAGAACAUAUCUGAGAGUAACUGUUCAGGUAUUGACGGUAUUUAACCAGAAAGCCACGGCUAACUACGUGCCAGCAGCCGCGGUAAUACGUAGGUGGCAAGCGUUGUCCGGAUUUAUUGGGCGUAAAGCGAGCGCAGGCGGUUUUUUAAGUCUGAUGUGAAAGCCUUCGGCUCAACCGGAGAAGUGCAUCGGAAACUGGGAAACUUGAGUGCAGAAGAGGACAGUGGAACUCCAUGUGUAGCGGUGAAAUGCGUAGAUAUAUGGAAGAACCCACCAGUGCCGAAGGCGGCUGUCUGGUCUGUAACUGACGCUGAGGCUCGAAAGUAUGGGUAGCCAACCGGAUUAGAUACCCUGCUAGUUCCAUACCGUAACCGAUGAAUGCUAAGUGUUGGAGGG